AACGAACGCUGGCGGCAUGCCUAACACAUGCAAGUCGAACGGAACCUUCGGGUUUAGGUGCGCAGGGGUGCGUGACACCGGGUAACCAACACGUAGGUUCGGAAUACCUCCCCGUAAGAGAACCUAAUAACACAGAAUGUAUUCGGGGCUAGGAGUUAUCGCCUUUGGAUGGGCGCGCGAUGGUUUAGCUGGUUGGGAGGGGAAAAGCCUACCAAGGCGACGUUGCAUGGCUGGUGAGGGAGGAUGAUCAGCCAGGCUGGGACUGAGACACGGCCCAGCCUCGGACGGGAGGAAGCAGUGGGGAAUAUUGGACGACGGGAGAAAGCCUGAGCAAGCAAGGCCGCGUGAGGGAGGAAGGCCUUAGGGUUGUCAAGCUCUUUUACGCCGGAGGAUAAUGACAGUACCGGGAGAAUAAGCCCCGGCUAACUCCGUG
rnacentral:rRNA from 1 species